GGGCCGUUAGCUCAGUCGGCAGAGCACUUGCCUUUUAAGCAAGGGGUCGAAGGUUCGAGUCCUUCACGGCUCACCA
rnacentral:tRNA from 1 species